UUUAGUGGCGAACGGGUGAGUAACGCGUAAGCAAUCUGCCCCUAAGACGAGGAUAACAGUUGGAAACGACUGCUAAGACUGGAUAGGAGACAAGAAGGCAUCUUCUUGUUUUUAAAAGACCUAGCAAUAGGUAUGCUUAGGGAGGAGCUUGCGUCACAUUAGUUAGUUGGUGGGGUAAAGGCCUACCAAGACUAUGAUGUGUAGCCGGGCUGAGAGGUUGAACGGCCACAUUGGGACUGAGACACGGCCCAAACUCCUACGGGAGGCAGCAGUAGGGAAUUUUCGGCAAUGGAGGAAACUCUGACCGAGCAACGCCGCGUGAACGAUGAAGUAUUUCGGUACGUAAAGUUCUUUUAUUAGGGAAGAAUAAAUGAUGGAAAAAUCAUUCUGACGGUACCUAAUGAAUAAGCCCCGGCUAACUAUGUGCCAGCAGCCGCGGUAAUACAUAGGGGGCAAGCGUUAUCCGGAAUUAUUGGGCGUAAAGGGUGCGUAGGCGGUUAAAUAAGUUUAUGGUCUAAGUGCAAUGCUCAACAUUGUGAUGCUAUAAAAACUGUUUAGCUAGAGUAAGAUAGAGGCAAGUGGAAUUCCAUGUGUAGUGGUAAAAUGCGUAAAUAUAUGGAGGAACACCAGUAGCGAAGGCGGCUUGCUGGGUCUUUACUGACGCUGAGGCACGAAAGCGUGGGGAGCAAACAGGAUUAGAUACCCUGGUAGUCCACGCCGUAAACGAUGAGUACUAAACGUUGGGUAAAACCAGUGUUGAAGUUAACACAUUAAGUACUCCGCCUGAGUAGUACGUACGCAAGUAUGAAACUUAAAGGAAUUGACGGGACUCCGCACAAGCGGUGGAUCAUGUUGUUUAAUUCGAAGGUACCCGAAAAACCUCACCAGGUCUUGACAUGCUUCUGCAAAGCUGUAGAAACACAGUGGAGGUUAUCAGUUGCACAGGUGGUGCAUGGUUGUCGUCAGCUCGUGUCGUGAGAUGUUGGGUUAAGUCCCGCAACGAGCGCAACCCUUAUUGUUAGUUACCAGCACGUAAUGGUGGGGACUUUAGCAAGACUGCCAGUGAUAAAUUGGAGGAAGGUGGGGACGACGUCAAAUCAUCAUGCCCCUUAUGACCUGGGCUACAAACGUGAUACAAUGGCUGUUACAAAGGGUAGCUGAAGCGCAAGUUUUUGGCGAAUCUCAAAAAAACAGUCUCAGUUCGGAUUGAAGUCUGCAACUCGACUUCAUGAAGUUGGAAUCGCUAGUAAUCGCGAAUCAGCAUGUCGCGGUGAAUACGUUCUCGGGGUUUGUACACACCGCCCGUCAAACCACGAAAGUUGGUAAUACCCAAAGCCGGUGGCCUAACUUCGCAAGAAGAGGGAACCGUCUAAGGUAGGGUCGAUGAUUGGGGUUAAGUCGUAACAAGGUAUCCCUACCGGAAGGUG
rnacentral:rRNA from 1 species